UAGUCAUAUGCUUGUCUCAAAGAUUAAGCCAUGCAUGUCUAAGUACAUGCCGCUAUAAGGUGAGACCGCGAAUGGCUCAUUAUAUCAGUUGUGGUUCCUUAGAUCUUCGGUUACACUUGGAUAACCCUGGUAAUUCUAGAGCUAAUACAUGCAUUCCAACACCAACCUUCGGGGAGGUGUGUUUUUAUUAGCCCAAAACCAAUCGGUGCCUUAGGGUGUCGAAAUCGUGGUGACUCAGAGUAACUUUGGUCGGAUCGCAUGGCUCUGUGCCGGCGACGCAUCUUUCAAAUGUCUGCCUUAUCAACUUGUUGGUUGGUUAAAUGCCAACCAAGGUGGUAACGGGUAACGGAGAAUCAGGGUUCGAUACCGGAGAGGGAGCCUGAGAAACGGCUACCACAUCCAAGGAAGGCAGCAGGCACGCAAAUUACCCACUCUCCGAUCGAGGAGGUAGUGACGAAAAAUAACAAUACCGGACUCUUCCGAGGCUGGGUAAUUGGAAUGGGUACACUUCAAAUCCUUUAACGAGGAUCCAUU
rnacentral:rRNA from 1 species